UACGGAGGAUGCGAGCGUUAUCCAGAUUUAUUGGGUUUAAAGGGUGCGUAGGCGGUCCGUUAAGUCAGCGGUAAAAUUGCGGGGCUCAACCCCGUCGAGCCGUUGAAACUGGCAGACUUGAGUUGGCGAGAAGUACGCGGAAUGCGCGGUGUAGCGGUGAAAUGCAUAGAUAUCGCGCAGAACUCCGAUUGCGAAGGCAGCGUACCGGCGCCAGACUGACGCUGAGGCACGAAAGCGUGGGGAUCGAACAGG
rnacentral:rRNA from 1 species